rnacentral:lncRNA from 1 species
ACGAGGAACGUGGCAGUCAUCUGAGCCAGUAUCUUCUCUGGAAAUAAUUAUUCGCUGUGCCCAAGGCUCCCAGACAGUGAGAGGCGAGUCUUUAAAUCUACUGCUUCACUUGGAGUCAGAGCCAUGUUUACUACUCUGGGAAAUAUGAGCCCUGUCUGCUUCCUGUUCUCCUUGAAGACCAACCAAUACAUAGUGAUGGAGUCUGCAAACGGAGUGACCUCGUCUACCACAUCCAACAAGUGGGCGGUUGGAGAAGACUCGUGCUGGUUUUCACACGACCAGAGCAGCCGCUUUCUGAUGCUUUCAGCCAUGAGCUCUAAUGAAAACAACCAGGAAUGCCUUCUACUGGAUUAAGCAUAGCAUUUAGGAAUGCUGCAAGCCUGGGGUUAAUCCUGCUCCAAAUGCUUAGAAUCUGAAGUUCCUAAGUCUGCGAACGAAUAACUUGGCUUCUUCUCCUGAAACCUGAGAAUAACACCUAUUCCCUUCAUAAAGGCCAAGUUCAAGAGUGCUGUGAAGUCAUGGGAAAUUCUACUCAAGAUGGAAUCACUGUGUGUGUAUGGAGGGGGGAUGCCUAAAGAAAACCCCCGAAUUAUCCUUGGACUUUACUUAAGCUCACCUCCCCCAGAGCUGCCUGCAGCUGUGGAUUCAUAGAGUUGAUGUUUCUAUGAUGAUGUAGGUCUGUUUCAUUAACCGGAACUCUUCAUUCUCCUCUUUGGAAUACACUUAAUUUUGGGCUUUGCCCGAACCUGACUCUACCAAAUUGCAAUUCCUAAAGUUCCCACUAAGGUUUUUAAAAAUUCUUUAUCACUUUGAUAGAGUGCUCAUUGGCAGUAUAAACAAACAAAAGGGUCUGGCCGUAUGCCCUGCUCAUUCUAGGACAGCCUAAAGGAGGGUUUCUUAUUGGCCUCAAAUAAUUGCCUGAGGAAGUCCGUUGGCUGCAUAAAAUGAACCAAGGAAACAGGAAUCUAUUGUUCUUUGACCCCUGCUUUCCAGUUUUCUCUCCCCUAGUCAACUCUCAGAAUUCACUGGCAGGGCAUUCACAUUUAUAAAACUAGAUAACCAGAUUUAGAAACUAAAAUGAGCAUACCGUUUGCUCAUAGAACAAUAUAUGAUUUGUUGGCAAGAGCAAACAAAAAUGGAAUAAUACAUUUUGGUUGGUAAUAUUAAAAACCAAAGCAGGAUAACUCUCAUGGCUCGUGGUUGCCAAUGAAGAAAAAUACAGGG